rnacentral:rRNA from 1 species
AGUGAACGCUGGCGGUAGGCCUAACACAUGCAAGUCGAACGGCAGCACAGUAAGAGCUUGCUCUUACGGGUGGCGAGUGGCGGACGGGUGAGGAAUACAUCGGAAUCUACUUUUUCGUGGGGGAUAACGUAGGGAAACUUACGCUAAUACCGCAUACGACCUACGGGUGAAAGCAGGGGAUCUUCGGACCUUGCGCGAUUGAAUGAGCCGAUGUCGGAUUAGCUAGUUGGCGGGGUAAAGGCCCACCAAGGCGACGAUCCGUAGCUGGUCUGAGAGGAUGAUCAGCCACACUGGAACCGAGACACGGUCCAGACUCCUACGGGAGGCAGCAGUGGGGAAUAUUGGACAAUGGGCGCAAGCCUGAUCCAGCCAUACCGCGUGGGUGAAGAAGGCCUUCGGGUUGUAAAGCCCUUUUGUUGGGAAAGAAAAGCGGCAGGUUAAUACCCCGCUGUUCUGACGGUACCCAAAGAAUAAGCACCGGCUAACUUCGUG